GAUGAACGCUGGCGGCGUGCCUAAUACAUGCAAGUCGAGCGAACAGACGAGGAGCUUGCUCCUCUGACUUUAGCGGCGGACGGGUGAGUAACACGUGGAUGACCUACCUAUAAGACUGGGCUAACUUCGGGAAACGAGAGCUAAUACCGGAUAAUAUAUUGAACCGCAUGGUUCAAUAGUGAAAUACGCUUUUUCUGUCACUUAUGGCUGGCUCCGGGCCGCAUUAUCUAGUUGGUUAGGUAACGGCUUACCCAGGCAACGAUGCGGACCCGACCUGAGAGGGUGAUCGGCCACACUGGAACUGAGACACGGUCCAGACUCCGACGGGAGGCAGCAGCAGGGAAUCUUCCGCAAUGGGCGAAAGCCUGACGGAGCAACGCCGCGUGAGUGAUGAAGGUCUUCGGAUCGUAAAACUCUGUUAUUAGGGAAGAACAAAUGUGUAAGUAACUAUGCACGUCUUGACGGUACCUAAUCAGAAAGCCACGGCUAACUACGUG
rnacentral:rRNA from 1 species